rnacentral:rRNA from 1 species
GUCCACGCCGUAACGAUGAUCACUCGCUGUUGGCGAUACACAGUCAGCGGCUAAGCGAAGCAUUAAGUGAUCCACCUGGGAGUACGGUCGCAAGACUGAACUCAAGGAAUUGACGGGGCCCGCACAAGCGGAGGAACAUGUGGUUUAAUUCGAUGAUACGCGAGGAACCUUACCUGGGCUUAAAUGUAGAUUGCAUUCAUGGGAAACCAUGAUUUUCUUCGGAACUAUUUGCAAGGUGCUGCAUGGUUGUCGU